GAGUCCUGGCAGCAGAGGAGGAGGCAUUCUGGGAGGAAGAGGCGGAGUCAGGAUGGACCCCAAGUUCCUCCAACCAGGAGCUCAGUGACAUCAGGACUACAAGACAGGAAGAGACGUCAGGAGAGAUGUUGGACCUGUCCUGAACGCAGCAUAAUGUUCAUGUUUGGACAAAGAAACACUGCCAGAUGGUCCAGAAAUGGACAAGCAUUUAUGUCUUAUUUUGUGUGCAAACAGUAA